CAGAAAAGAGUGGUGAGCCGGCGGCAAACUGAGUUUGACCGGCAGAGAGCAAUGAGGGGAGAAAGAAUCAAACAAAUCAUUCAAGCCCGAAAACAAGAGAGGGAGGCCAAGAGGAAGAAAAUAUUUUAUGUGAGGUCUGAAGAAGAAAGACUGAGAAAGUUGCGUGAAGAGGAGGAAGCUCACAAGCGUGAAGAAGCUGAGAGACGAAGGAAAGAAGAAGCUGAACGUAAGGCAAAGUUAGAUGAGAUUGCUGAGAAGCAGAGGCA
rnacentral:misc_RNA from 1 species